AACACACAGCAGCAUGACAUCACAAAGGCUUUCCAAGUUCUGGAAAGGCAUUGCCCUUUUCAGUGCACUUUGCAAAAGAACGUCCUUGCCCAGAAAUCACUACCAGCAUUAUGAUUUCAUCUGCAGCAACAGCAGGUGUGGGACACAAUUCCUUUGAGAAGGACCAGAAAUCAAUUGGAUGUGCAGACAGCACAGAGCAACACAGCCAUGUCUCCAAAUCUGGCAGAAAUCCUGAGCUCUGAACCCUGGAUGAGGAACAGCCCAAUGCCCACUACCAAUCAAUCUGGCCCUGCAAGGUCUCAAGAGACAAAAGAAA